rnacentral:rRNA from 1 species
AUUGAACGCUGGCGGCAGGCCUAACACAUGCAAGUCGAGCGAGCGGCGGACGGGUGAGUAAUGCCUGGGAAUUGCCCAGUCGAGGGGGAUAACAGUUGGAAACGACUGCUAAUACCGCAUACGAUUGGAUUGCCCAGGUGGGAUUAGCUAGUUGGUGAGGUAAUGGCUCACCAAGGCGACGAUCCCUAGCUGGUCUGAGAGGAUGAUCAGCCACACUGGAACUUAGACACGGACCUGACUCCUACGGGAGGCAGCAGUGGAGAUUAUUGCACAAUUGGUGAAGCCCUGAGGCAGCCAUGCCGCGCUUGUGAAGCAGGCCUUCGGGUUGUAAAGCACUUUCAGCGAGUAGGCGUUACUCGCAGAAGAAGCACCGGCUAACUCCGUGCCAGCAGCCGCGGUAAUUC